rnacentral:rRNA from 1 species
GGAGUUUGGUCCGUGUCUCAGUACCAAUGUGGGGGACCUUCCUCUCAGAACCCCUACUGAUCGUCGCCUUGGUGGGCCGUUACCCCGCCAACAAGCUAAUCAGACGCAUCCCCAUCCCUUAGCGGUAAACCUUUGGUUCAAUUUAGAUGUCUGCUUCGAACAACAUAGGGUAUUAAUCCGACUUUCGCCGGGCUAUC